ACACGACUACAUUAGAUACCCCGGUAGUCCAGGGUGUAAACGCUGCGGGCUUGGUGUUGGGGGUCCUUUGAGGGCGCCCAGUGCCGGAGAGAAGUUGUUAAGCCUGCUGCUUGGGGAGUACGUCCGCAAGGAUGAAACUUAAAGGAAUUGGCGGGGGAGCACCACAACGGGUGGAGCUUGCGGUUUAAUUGGAUUCAACGCCGGAAAUCUUACCGGGACCGACAGCAACAUGAAGGCCAGGCUGAAGACUUUGCCGGAUUAGCUG
rnacentral:rRNA from 1 species